UGUAGGAAUUUACCAGACAAAGACUGAUGAACCUGAAGAAAGAAAAUCAGUCUUAUCCUGAGCUACUAAUGACCUGUCCUGAAUGAUCAGAAGAAGAACACUAGUAACUACUCCUUUAACUCAGCAGAAGCACAUGCUGUUUAGAAGAAGGGAGCCUGGAGGCCACAGCUCGGAGCUGGCUCAAAACUUCUCAGCAGGCAAAAUCAAUCAAAACUGAAUGUUGAUCUCCUGGAGCGCAGGAAGGCUCUACAGAGGGAUCUGGACAGGCUGGACUGAUGAGAAGACAGCUACUGUCUCUUCUGGGAGAUGAAAAAUGCUACAAGUUCCUCUGUCUGGCAAGAAGAGCAAGAACAGGGGCUGUGCAGGUUGGCAGCUGGUCAGGCUGGACACCUGGACAUGUGCAUAUGGAGUUGUUAACGUGUCGUACAUCGCAGUGUGCUGUGCAGGGCAGUCUCCAGCUCUAUGUGCCCUGAUAAUGAAAUUGUAGUGGGAUCCUGGGACAAAUCUGGA